rnacentral:lncRNA from 1 species
UGUUCCCUCUAAAGGUUCGAAUGCCUUGUCAAAUACAAUUGGAAGUGUGAGACCCUCGGAGGGAGAAAGGGGAACAGGAGAGAAUCCAGAGCAGGUAUGGAAUGAAGUUGAACAUCUGAAGAAAACCUGUGGAGGACUGACUUAUCAAGAGGAAAGCCUUCACAUUUGACCCAGA